rnacentral:rRNA from 1 species
AUACGGAGGGUGCGAGCGUUAAUCGGAAUUACUGGGCGUAAAGCGUACGUAGGCGGUUUGCUAAGUCAGAUGUGAAAGCCCCGGGCUUAACCUGGGAACUGCAUUUGAUACUGGCAGACUAGAGUAUGAUAGAGGGGGGUAGAAUUCCUGGUGUAGCGGUGAAAUGCGUAGAUAUCAGGAGGAAUACCAGUGGCGAAGGGCCCCCUGGAUCAAUACUGACGCUGAGGUACGAAAGCGUGGGGAGCGAACAGGAUUAGAAACCCUAGUAGUCC